rfam:Tribolium castaneum strain Georgia GA2 linkage group LG6, whole genome shotgun sequence.
GGCGCCGUGGCUUAGUUGGUUAAAGCGCCUGUCUAGUAAACAGGAGAUCGUGGGUUCGAAUCCCACCGGGGCCU